rnacentral:lncRNA from 1 species
UUUUCAGGGAAUUUUUGGAUCCGAAGGGCAACGUAGCUGCUUUGGGUGAACGGGCCUGCGCAGGACUUUUUUUGACGCUAGGGGAUUUCAGCCCCGCACAGGGUUCUCUCAACACAGCGGGAUUCCAGCUCUGCCGUUUCAAAAAUCCUGAUAUUUCAGGAUUAAUUUUGCUUUAAUUGGGGAUUGCAUCUGCUGAUUUUGGGGUUAUCCAUGUCUCGUUUUUUAGACUGACUUUGCUCUACUUUUCUUUACAAAUUCAGGGCUGCGCAGGGCAUUUUUCGUGAAGGGAGCGCAACGUUUUUCAGGGAAUCUAUUGGAAAUGCUGUCUUCUUUAACACUCAUGAGAUCAUGCGAAGAAGGAUACAACAGCAAAGGAAAAGGAGGAAUUAGUGGAAUAACAAGAUGAAGUAAAAUUAUUAAGCUGCGCAGGAAUGAAAGCAAGAAGAGUUACUAAAGCUGCGCUACAUAAUUUUCUAAGCGGUGCUGCGGGAUAUCUAAGCUGGUCUUCAACACAGGAACUCUACAUCCCAGCACAGAAUGUCUAAGCCGUAAUGUAACAAAGGUAACCCACUAACUAGUGGUGAUCCAGGUACUUCGCAGAACUAUAAUUUCUCACUACAUGAUCUUAAGGUGUCUCAUCGAAGCAUGUAAGUAUGAAUGAAACAUGAUGUUAAGUUACUUCACCAAAGCAUGUAAGUAUGAAACAUGAUCUUAAGUUAUUUCAUCGAAGCAUGAAAACAUGAUUAGGAUUUGGAAAAUGUUAUACUUUACCACUUGAGAAAAAUCACGAUUUAUAUUAUCUCUUGAAGGGAUUUGGGAAUUUGAUAUUAUGUCUUGGAAGCUGCACACCUUCUGCAUAUGUGCCUAGGUCUAAAAUAUGAAUUGACUAAGUAUACGAAGCUGCACACCUUCUGCAUACGUGCUAGGGCUUGGAACAUAAUUUGGAUAACAUACUUUGGGACCAUAGAGUCAUACUAGCCCUGUCACUAGCAUCACAAGUAGGAACACCAAUCACAAGCAUACACAUAACAUGUUUAUUUUAAUCAUGCACAUGUUACUAAGAGGGAGGGAGUAGGGUAUAUGUUGCCAUCUGUAUUUUUCUUGAAAAUUUACAGCACAUCAGUAAUGGUUGACAAUGCUAGAAAACCUGCUUCGGCAGAAAAUGAGCUUUAGUGGCAAUUCAGCCACGCUUCGGAGGGGAAAGCCUUAAGUAGAAUUUGGGUCUUCUCAGCGCAGUCAGGAUAUUUAUCUCAGCUACCUCUGCGCAGCUAUCUCAGCGCAGCUAUCUCAGCGCAGCUAUCUCAGUUAUCUCAGCUACCUCAGUGAGCUAGCUACCUCAGCGCAGCUACCUCAGCGCAGCUAUCUCAGCGCAGCUAUCUCAGC